rnacentral:rRNA from 1 species
UACAGAGGUCCCAAGCGUUGUUCGGAUUCACUGGGCGUAAAGGGUGCGUAGGUGGUGAGGUAAGUCGGAUGUGAAAUCUCCGAGCUCAACUCGGAAAUGGCAUUGGAAACUACCUUGCUCGAGGGUUGGAGGGGGGACUGGAAUGCUUGGUGUAGCAGUGAAAUGCGUAGAUAUCAAGCGGAACACCAGUGGCGAAGGCGAGUCCCUGGACAAAUCCUGACACUGAGGCACGAAAGCUAGGGGAGCAAACAGG